AAACAUUCUAUGCUGUGUGGAUACUUAACUGUCUUACAGUCCAUACCUCGUCAUCUAAUAAAUCCGAAAGCGCUGAAGGGGAUGGUAAUUUGUCUUGCAGGCUCAGCCGUUCUGAGCUCUGGCGCACGCUUAUUAGACUGGAGAAUGCUAGAAGUGGAGGACAGACGACCAUGGGCAUUUGCCAUUUGAUUUCUCGCAUCUGUUCUUACCUUCACUUCCGCAGGGUUGGUUGGUUGCCGAAAUCAGGCCUGCAGUAUGGUUCUGACUUCGUGCUUUACUACUG
rnacentral:lncRNA from 1 species